GAUGAACGCUGGCGGCAGGCCUAAUACAUGCAAGCCAAGGGCUGUUUGGUGGAGCUAUACAUCAAACAACCGGCGGACGGGGGCGUAAAGCGUAGGCAACCUACCCUAUACAGGAGGGUAACCCUCGGAAACGAGGAUUAAUACUCCGUAAGAUUGCUUUGAGGCAUCUUUAAGCAAUUAAAGCCGCAGGGCGGGAUAGGAGGGGCGUGCGUCCGAUGAGCUAGUUGGUGAGGUAGCGGUUCACCAAGUCGGUGAGCGGCACGGGUUCUGAGGGGAAGAGCCCCCACAGGGGCACUGGGCCACGGGCCCGACUACUACGGGCGGAAGCAGUAAGGAGUGUUGGAGAGUGGGUGAAUGCCUGAUCCAGCCAUGCCGGGUGCAGGAAGACGGCCCUAGGGGUUGUAAACUGCUUUUGAGAAGGAGAUAUAAGGGCGAUGCGUCGCUCGAUGAUAGUACUUGUCGAAUAAGCAUCGGCUAACUACGUG
rnacentral:rRNA from 1 species